UUCACCUCUUGAGAUCAUAUAGAAGAUGAUUCAAGUGUGUCCUUUGGAAUGGGCAAUGAAUAAUAACAAACAAACAAAGCAAAAGAAGAAAGUCAACAAAAGCGGAUACCGGAUGCCAAUCACUGGACUUACACCAAUCUCCUAAAACAGAACUGGAUAUCAGAGGCCACUCUAUGGACUUAUACUAAUCUCCUUAACAAAGAAAA
rnacentral:lncRNA from 1 species